GCUGUGUCUAAAAAUUCAAUUUAAACUAACUUUAAGGUGAAGAGGCCUUUAUGUAAAAGAAGGACGACAAGACCCUAUGAAGCUUUAUCUUAAUUGGAGCUUUCAGGCUCUUAUACGAUUUUGAUGGGAGAUCAGUAAAAAUAAGUCCUCUACUAUUAUAUUAAUCUUACUAGAAUUUCCUAACUUUAUAUGUGUGACUAGCUACUCUAGGGAUAACAGCGCAAUUUCUCCCGAAAGAUGGUAUUGGAGGGGAAGAUUGCGACCUCGAUGUUGGC
rnacentral:rRNA from 1 species